ACUCCUACGGGAGGCAGCAGUGGGAAUAUUGCGCAAUGGUCGAAAGACUGACGCAGCGACGCCGCGUGUGGGAGGAAGCCCUUCGGGGUGUAAACCACUGUCAGGAGGGAAGAACGGCGGGUGCGCGAAUAGCUCAUCCGAUUGACGGUACCUCCAGAGGAAGCGCCGGCUAACUCCGUGCCAGCAGCCGCGGUAAGACGGAGGGCGCAAGCGUUGUUCGGAAUUACUGGGCGUAAAGCGCACGCAGGCGGCCCUUUAAGUCCACUGUGAAACUCCGGGCUCAACUCCGGACAUGCAGUGGAUACUGGAGGGCUAGAGAUCGGUAGAGGCUAGCGGAAUUCCAGGUGUAGCGGUGGAAUGCGUAGAUAUCUGGAAGAACACCAGUGGCGAAGGCGGCUAGCUGGGCCGAGUCUACGCUCAUGU
rnacentral:rRNA from 1 species